AGACUACAGCUGAGUACAGCAGGUGCGCUACGUAUUAUCUGCCAGAGUGCAUAUGACAUAUACAGAUAAGAUUAUGGAAUAUGCCAGAAAUUUCCUUGGAUUCGUGUCUGAAAGCACGGAGGAGGUACUGUUAGAGACGACUGAGGAUGGCUUUGGAAAUGGAAGUUUUGAAAAAAACUCACUGCUCGCUAUACUGUAGACGGAAACUUGGCUAUCCAAACUCCCGCAACUCUUCUAGCAUUGAUUCUAGUCAUUUACUUUGUGCCUUCACAAGUCAGUAACAACAAUAAGUAAUCUGUUGUAAAGCACCAGCAGAUGUUAUGAUGAAUUUAUUAGUAUAUAAGAAUACUUAGGAGAAACUUGACGCAUGUAGAAGUUUCAUUGAAACCCUACAGCACUUUCCAUGUGCAUUUUAUUACGCUAUGCUAUCAUAUAUAAGUAAAAUUUUUUUUAAACAUCAAUGCACACACAGUUGUUACAUAACCGAAAUUUUUGAUUACAACCUGCCUAGAUGUUUCAUUAAGACGCAUUAUAAAGGAUGAAUAAGCAUUUUAAUUAUACUUCGUAAAAUCAUGAAUAACCAUUAAGAGAAUACUGUACUUUAAAAUUGUAUAUAUAUAUAUAUAUAUACAUGACACAUUGAUAUAUACAUACAUACAUAUAUACAAAUGCAUAUAUAAACAUAACAUAGUAUUUACACUAUGCAUUAGCUCAUAGAGAUAUACUCAUAGAGAUAUUAUUAUAAUUUAUUUCUAUAUGUUUAAGAUUAUAUUAGAGUCAUGUUGAAAAAUGUUGUCUGAUACUCAUGUAUGUAUACAAAUUUUAUUACUUCUGAGAGAAUCAUGUAGAGAAACGGCAUUUGGUUUGCAAUAAACGCGUGAAAAAAAAUAUGUAUCUACGAUAUGUAAUAGCAGAAAAGUGUAAACAUUAUAAAGAGUACUAUUAUUAUUAUGAUACGAUUACGAAGUGUAACUGAGUCAACAAGCAAAAUAUAAUUGAAAGCGAUUAUACUGCAA